AAAAUGGUCAUUAUUAUUUAUUAUUGCAUAGUUAUUACUGCAAUAAUGUUAUCACAUAAAGGAAAGGGUUGUUAAAAAAUGAUCUACUCCUGGUGUGAAAUGAGCUGUGUUGAUUCAAUAGAUUAUUUUAGAAAAUACAUCUGCCAAAUUUGUGUUACCAAAACACCAGGGGGUGAGGUAGAAUGAUCACUUGAACCCCGGAGUUCAAGGCUGCAGUGAGCUGUGAUAACAUCACUGCACUCCAGGCUGGAUGACAGAGUGACACUCUGCCUCUACAAAAUUAAAAAUAAAAAAAGCAAAAAUGAUUUGAGAGAAACAAAAACUAAGAAAAUUAAUCACCAGCAUAACAACAUAGUGAGAAUUACCAAAAGGAUUUCUUCAUGUAACAGGAAAAUGAUCCCAGAUAGAAACGCAGAGAAGUCAGAAGGAAUGAAAAGUUUUCUAAGAAAAAAAAAAAAGGAGGUAAACAUGUAAAUAAUUUUAAAUAAAUAUAGGCUGCAUAAAGCUGUAAUGAUAAUGUCCAAGACUGUUUUUAUACAUUUAGAAGUAAAAUACAUUUCAAUAUAACACAAAAGAAAAGAAGGAGUGUUUUGGUUAGCAUCCAUAAGCUAUGCUACAGU
rnacentral:lncRNA from 10 species